GGNAGCUGAUGCAGCACGCCGCGUGAGGGAUGACGGCCUUCGGGUUGUAAACCUCUUUUAGCAGGAAGAAGCGAAAGUGACGGUACCUGCAGAAAAAGCGCCGGCUAACUACUGCCAGCAGCCGCGGUAAUACGUAGGGCGCAAGCGUUAUCCGGAAUUAUUGGGCGUAAAGAGCUCGUAGGCGGUUUGUCGCGUCUGCUGUGAAAUCUGGAGGCUCAACCUCCAGCCUGCAGUGGGUACGGGCAGACUAGAGUGCGGUAGGGGAGAUUGGAAUUCCUGGUGUAGCGGUGGAAUGCGCAGAUAUCAGGAGGAACACCGAUGGCGAAGGCAGAUCUCUGGGCCGUAACUGACGCUGAGGAGCGAAAGGGUGGGGAGCAAACAGGCUUAGAUACCCUGGUAGUCCACCCCGUAAACGUUGGGAACUAGUUGUGGGGUCCAUUCCACGGAUUCCGUGACGCAGCUAACGCAUUAAGUUCCCCGCCUGGGGAGUACGGCCGCAAGGCUAAAACUCAAAGGAAUUGACGGGGACCCGCACAAGCGGCGGAGCAUGCGGAUUAAUUCGAUGCAACGCGAAGAACCUUACCAAGGCUUGACAUACACGAGAACGCCGCAGAAAUGUGGAACUCUUUGGACACUCGUGAACAGGUGGUGCAUGGUUGUCGUCAGCUCGUGUCGUGAGAUGUUGGGUUAAGUCCCGCAACGAGCGCAACCCUCGUUUAUGUUGCCAGCACGUAAUGGUGGGAACUCAUGGGAUACUGCCGGGGUCAACUCGGAGGAAGGUGGGGAUGACGUCAAAUCAUCAUGCCCCUUAUGUCUUGGGCUUCACGCAUGCUACAAUGGCCGGUACAAAGGGCUGCAAUACCGUGAGGUGGAGCGAAUCCCAAAAAGCCGGUCCCAGUUCGGAUUGAGGUCUGCAACUCGACCUCAUGAAGUCGGAGUCGCUAGUAAUCGCAGAUCAGCAACGCUGCGGUGAAUACGUUCCCGGGUCUUGUACACACCGCCCGUCAAGUCAGAAAGUCGGUAACACCUGAAGCCGGUGGCCCAACCCUGGGAGGAGCCGG
rnacentral:rRNA from 1 species